GGAGAGCGCAGUCCCAAUGUGAGUGGGGAGAUGGGAGGCCUCGGCCCAGAGCAGCACUCUGUAAAUCAAGUCCCCUCGCCGCCAGAGAGAUGACUGUCCAGGUUCAGGAGGACCUGCUGUCUUUGUGCUCUGCUCAUGUCUCUCAUUAGGGUGUACCUACUUGUCAUAGGUGAGGCAUUAAAAAAAACAGUCAACAACAGCAGCAACAGCAGCAACAACAACAACAAUAACAACAACAACAACACAUGGGUGGUUGACUCAAAAGUCUGGUAGUGGUGUGGGGGUGGAGACAUUCAUUUCUGAACCUGGACUGUGCUCUAAAGCUACAGCAUAUACACAUCCACCUCCACCCCCAGCAUAUACACAUCCACCUCCACCCCCAGCAUAUACACAUCCACCGCCAGCAUAUACACAUCCACCUCCCACCCCCAGCAUAUACACAUCCACCCCCAGCAUAUACACAUCCACAUCCACCCCCAACAUAUACACAUCCACCCCCAGCAUAUACACAUCCACCCCCAACAUAUACACAUCCACCCCCAGCAUAUACACAUCCACAUCCACCCCCAACAUAUACACAUCCACCCCCAGCAUAUACACAUCCACCCCCAACAUAUACACAUCCACCUCUCACCCCCAGCAUAUACACAUCCACCUCUCACCCCCAGCAUAUACACAUCCACCCCCAGCAUAUACACAUCCACCUCCACCCCCAACAUAUACACAUCCACCUCCACCCCCAGCAUAUACACAUCCACCUCCCACCCCCAGCAUAUACACAUCCACCUCCCACCCCCAGCAUAUACACAUCCACCUCUCACCCCCAGCAUAUACACAUCCACCUCCACCCCCAACAUAUACACAUCCACCUCCACCCCCAGCAUAUACACAUCCACCCCCAGCAUAUACACAUCCACCCCCAGCAUAUACACAUCCACAUCCACCCCCAACAUAUACACAUCCACCUCCACCCCCAGCAUAUACACAUCCACCUCUCACCCCCAGCAUAUACUCAUCCACCUCUCACCCCCAGCAUAUACACAUCCACCUCCCACCGCCAGCAUACUGUAUACACAUCCACCUCUCACCCCCAGCAUAUACACAUCACCUCUCACCCCCAGCAUAUACACAUCCACCUCUCAGCCCCAGCAUAUACUCAUCCACUUCUAACCCCCAGCAUAUACACAUCCACCUCCACCCCCAGCAUAUACACAUCCACCUCUCACCCCCACCAAAAAAAGACAAAAAAACUAAAAACCGUCUCUCUGUCUCAGAAUCAGAGACUGCUCUAGAUGUCAAGAUGUGUUCCCACAUGCUCUUUCCAUAACCUGGUGUUUCCAUAUCCUGUGCUCUUUUU
rnacentral:lncRNA from 1 species